AUUGAACGCUGGCGGCAGGCCUAACACAUGCAAGUCGAACGAGUGGCGGACUGGUGAGUAAUGUCUGGGAAACUGCCUGAUGGAGGGGGAUAACUACUGGAAACGGUAGCUAAUACCGCAUACCAUCGGAUGUGCCCAGAUGGGAUUAGCUAGUAGGUGGGGUAAAGGCUCACCUAGGCGACGCUCCCUAGCUGGUCUGAGAGGAUGACCAGCCACACUGGAACUUAGACCCGGUCCAGACUCCUACGGGAGGCAGCAGUGGGGAAUAUUGCACAAUGGGCGCAAGCCUGAUGCAGCCAUGCCGCGUGUAUGAAGAAGGCCUUCGGGUUGUAAAGUACUUUCAGCGGGGAGGCGGUACCCGAAGAAGAAGCACAGGCUAACUCCGUGCCAGCAGCCGCGGUAAUAG
rnacentral:rRNA from 1 species